rnacentral:rRNA from 1 species
GAUGAACGCUGGCGGCGUGCCUAACACAUGCAAGUUGAGCGACGAACCAGGGCUUGCGCUGGGGCAAAGCAGCGAACGGGUGAGUAACUCGUGGGUAACUUACCCCGAUAAACGGGACAACCCGAGGAAACUCGGGCUAAUACAUAAUGUGUUCUCUGGACUUCGGUUCAGUUCGUAAAUGAAGGUUCGUCCUCCGUAUCGGGAUGGGUGCGCGGGGCAUGAGUUUGUUGGUUAGGUAACGGAUCACCAAGACCACGAUGGGUAGCUGGUCUGAGAGGGUGAUCGGCCACACUGGGACUGAGACACGGCCCAGACUCCUACGGGAGGCAGCAGUGGGGAAUCUUGCGCAAUGGGCGAAAGCGUGACGCAGCAACGCCGCGUGGGGGAAGAAGGCCUUCGGGUUGUAAACCCCUUUCAGGAGGGACGAAGGUUCGGCGGUGAAUAGCCGUCCGGAUUGACGGUACCUACACAAGAAGCCCCGGCUAACUACGUG